UAUUACAGAUGACACGGUUUAUGAGUUAACGUAAAAAGAAAAUAAUGUUGAUCUUACUUUUUAAUCAUCUUUCACCACUCUGACAUGAAUCAGAGUGUAUAUGAAUGCAUUGAAAUUAUUCAUCAAUAUCCUUUAGAAUAAUAAUAAAAAAAUUCCACAUGUUUUCCAUAAUUAAUAACUUCAUCUAAUUAUUAAUAAGUGAUAAUUUAGUUUAAUUCACUCUAGAUUAAAUCAAUUAAUAACUGCAUCAAACUAAGAGUGCAAUGUACUCAAUAAUAUUUAUCAUAACGUUCAUUAUCAUAUAGAAAUAUUUAACUAUUUAUUAAUACUCCAAGAAAUAAUUUUUAAAUUCAUUUUUUCUGUGCAUCAGGUUCACCUAAAAAUACAGGUAUCGUCAUAGAAUACUUUUGUUUUCACUUGGGCCGGUUUUCGAAACGAGUUUUCAUAUAAUUUUGGGUCUGAUAUUUUACCUGGAACAUAAUGGAAUCAAUUAAAGUUUAGACAACGGUUAAAAAUAUCCAAUAUCAGGUAAAAAUCAAGGCCGUGAAGAGAACCAACACAUCCUGUAUGCACAUUACAGCUUAGAGCAAGGCUUUCAACAACGGAACUUUCUCGCUCUCGAUCUAGUUUCUUGAAUAAUUCCAAAUGAGCCACGGGAGAAAAAGAGAGAAAGAUACAAGUUGUAGUGUGGAGUGCGGAAGGAGACGAGGUGCAGCUUAACGGAAGUAAGGUAUACGAAUGAAUUCUUCCGGAUAACGGUGCAUUUGGAACAAUGCACGUGAUGAUUAUUUUAAGGAAUAAAUUGCAGAGAAGGACAUAGGAAAAGUCUCAAGUACUUAAUUGAAAUACGACACAUUAAUUCAGCAAACUCUCUAGAAUGAAAAGCAAUCGGUUAUUGCCACGCUAACGGACUUGCUACAACGUAACGUCUCGCCGAUUGCGCAAUAAAAAUCUUAGCGCAUCUCCGGCGUCCUCCAAAGAGGAUGCUGGCUUGUUGGAAAAGGUAUAGAGACUUAUCCUACAGUAGAUCACAAGUGAAAGUGAUGAGAGAAUGAAUGCUACCUCGUCAGCAUCUAGACCUUUUUUCGUUGGUGCAGGCGGAUGGAUCCCAUGAUGAUGACGAUGAUAAUGAUGAUGAUGAUGAUGAUGAUGCUAAAAAUGAUGAAUGCAAUGCUUUUAACUAAGAUGAAGAGGAAGAAGAGUGAGAGGAAGUUACGGGGUUGUUGACACUUCAACAACUGUUUCUACCGACGCUUCGAGAGUCUAUAGACAAACGUCUUGUCGGCAUACCAACGAAACCAAGACCAUGAGCACGUAGUGCCGGCAUGCAUUACUCCACGUGCAUUCAUUAUUGCAUGACGAUUCUUCUUUGACGAUGUCGUCUAUCAUCUAUGCACAAGGACUUAAAUACAACGGUAAAUGUGAAUUGGCAAAGAAAUCUGAGGCAAAGAAAAACUGGGAGAGAUGCAAAGGAACCGGAAUGCGGCAUCGACGUCCAAGGAAAACCACUUGUGACUGCACCCUAGAUAUUCAUAUUGUACUUUGCUUACCAGCAUUAUUUUAACUUACUUCAUUAAUAACUUCUAUUUGAACAUCCUUAUACAAGAUGUUCACGUAAGACUGUAUAUUUAUUUUAUCACUUGAGAAUACUCUCGGGGCAUUCUCAAGUGGUGAAAAAAAGUUAUUCGUGCCAUGGCCAGUAAGACGAGGGAUCGAGAUAUAAUUGAGACGCUAGUUAGCCUGGAGUGUGUAUUGAGUAUGAAGCAAAGCACUACAUUCAUGAGUUAAUGUCCACGACCGCGCCCUGAUCAAGUUGAGACGAAAAUACGAAGAAAGCAGCAUGCCUGCAACCGGCGUUCGUUGGUUGCUUGACGACCGGUGAAAGUCAUAUCCAAAAUGUCAUUGGAGGUUAACCUUAACGCGACUCGAUCACCGUGUGGUUAUACUAGCACCUAUGUUCUAUGAGGAUAUCUCUUACGUCAGCUUUCCAUAAAUAUUGCAGUUUCUGGAUAAAAAUUACAAUGACAGUAGAUUUUGUUGGUUAAAACAUUCCAAGAAGUCGUUGGUGUUCUUUUUCGGCUCCGGUCUCUUAAUAUUUUUUCCAAACCGGAUUCCCAGGUCUGUUCUCCUACCAAAGUGAUCAACAGUGUAUUGGUAGACUUUAUACAUACUCACAUCAGACUCCCAGUUACCUUAGAUACUCCAGGCAAUUGCAAAACCCUUGGGCAAGGUGACCUAGUUACUGAGCAUCGUCGAGCAAAAUAGAGAGCGAGUUUUUUGUGAUGGUUGAAACAACAGCUAAACAUUAUGCCUUUUAAAUUGGAUUAAAUUGAAAGGAAAAUAUAACAUUAAUCCAUUAAACUUAUGAUUUAGCCAAUUUAAUGUUUUACGUCACACCCAUGUCACGCUUCAUGCGUGAACAUAAAGUCGAAGGAUGCAAAUGACAAAUGAUAAUAAUUAACUACAACAAUGAUGUCUGGUGUAAAUGAAACAAGCAAUGGGUGAUGAUGUAUUGAAUUAUCAUAAAAAAUUGGUAUGUAUUAAUAAAAAAUAAAUAAUGGAAGGUGGAUAUAAUUUUUCAGGUAUGAUUUAUAAGCUUCUAAAUCAUUUGUUGAAAUAUUCAAUCAACAAAAAAUUUGAGAAACAAAUAAACAGUUAAUAUUAAUCGGUGGUAAUAAGUUUUUUUUAG